rnacentral:tRNA from 1 species
UUUAAUGUGGCAGAAUAGUGCGAUAGACUUAAACCCUAUAUAUAAAAAUUAUAUUUUUUAUUAAAA